CAGGUGUAGCAAUACAUGCUGACGAGCGGCGAACGGGUGAGUAAUGCUUUGGAAUCUUCCCAGUAGUGGGGAAUAACCAGUCGAAAGAUUGGCUAAUACCGCAUACGUCCGAAAGGGGAAAGCGGGGGAUCGUAAGACCUCGCGCUAUUGGAUGAGCCAAAGUCGGAUUAGCUAGUUGGUGGGGUAAUGGCCUACCAAGGCGACAAUCCGUAGCUGGUCUGAGAGGACGACCAGCCACACCGGAACUGAGACACGGUCCGGACUCCUACGGGAGGCAGCAGUGGGGAAUAUUGGACAAUGGGGGAAACCCUGAUCCAGCGACGCCGCGUGUGUGAAGAAGGCCUGCGGG
rnacentral:rRNA from 1 species